GACGGAGGGGGCAAGCGUUGUCCGGACUCACUGGGCGUAAAGGGUGCGCAGGCGGAAGCGUGCGUCCGCGCUGAAAUCGCGUGGCUUAACUGCGCGGCGCGUGCGGAUACGACGCUUCUGGAGGCAUGGAGAGGGUGGGGGGAACUCCUGGUGUAGUGGUGAAAUGCGUAGAGAUCAGGCAGAACACCCGUGGCGCAAGCGCCCACCUGGCCAUGACCUGACGCUGAGGCACGAAAGCGUGGGGAGCGAACCGG
rnacentral:rRNA from 1 species